GCUCAGUAUUCCGAGUUACGGCAAAGCUCAAUUUGAUUCCUUGCAUUUAUGUAAUUUGAAGAUGGCAUCAAAAAAAGGCUGAAAACUUAUGUCCCUUGGAACUGGACGUCACAGAGGGUGAGAAUCCCGGGGCGGCCCACUUUGGCCAUCAAAGAGUCGAGUGUUUGGGAAUGCAGCUCAAUGGUGGUAAAUUCCAUCUAAAGCUAAAUACUGGCGAGAGACCGAUAGCGAACAAGUACCGUGAGGGAAAGAUGAAAAGCACUUUGAAAAGAGAGUGAAACAGUACGUGAAAUUGUUGAAAGGGAAGGGCAUGAAGAUAGAUUGUGAGGGUCGUGGGGAGUGGAGAAAAAAUCACGUGGGAACGUGGCCUUCGGGUGUUAUAUCCCACACAUUUCUCCCACCCCCAGAGACCGCUUUUAGGACCCUCACGUAAUAUCUCCA
rnacentral:rRNA from 1 species